rnacentral:rRNA from 1 species
UCAGGCCUAACACAUGCAAGUCGAACGGCAGCACGGGAGCAAUCCUGGUGGCGAGUGGCGAACGGGUGAGUAAUACAUCGGAACGUGCCCAAUCGUGGGGGAUAACGUAGCGAAAGCUACGCUAAUACCGCAUACGAUCUACGGAUGAAAGCGGGGGAUCGCAAGACCUCGCGCGAAUGGAGCGGCCGAUGGCAGAUUAGGUAGUUGGUGGGGUAAAGGCUCACCAAGCCAACGAUCUGUAGCUGGUCUGAGAGGACGACCAGCCACACUGGAACUGAGACACGGUCCAGACUCCUACGGGAGGCAGCAGUGGGGAAUUUUGGACAAUGGGCGCAAGCCUGAUCCAGCAAUGCCGCGUGCAGGAUGAAGGCCUUCGGGUUGUAAACUGCUUUUGUACGGAACGAAACGGCGAGCUCUAAUACAGUUUGCUAAUGAC